rnacentral:rRNA from 1 species
AUACGUAUGGGGCGAGCGUUAUCCGGAAUCAUUGGGCGUAAAGCGCGCGUAGGCGGCUGUCCAAGCGGGGCGUCAAAUCCCGGGGCUCAACCCCGGGCCGCGCCCCGAACUGGGCGGCUUGAGUCCGGUAGGGGGAGGCGGAAUUCCCGGUGUAGCGGUGAAAUGCGCAGAUAUCGGGAAGAACACCGGUGGCGAAGGCGGCCACCCGGGCGGCGAAUGACUCUGAGGCGCGAAAGCUAGGGGAGCGAACAGGAUUAGAUCCCCUGGUAGUCCUAGCCGUAAACGAUGGGCACUAGGUGUGGGGGAGACCGAUCCUCCGUGCCGCAGCCAACGCAUUAAGUGCCCCGCCUGGGGAGUACGGCCGCAAGGCUAAAACUCAAAUGAAUUGACGGGG